UACGUAGGGGGCAAGCGUUGUCCGGAUUUAUUGGGCGUAAAGAGCGUGUAGGCGGCCAUACAGGUCAGCUGUGAAACUCGAGGCUCAACCUCGAGACGUCGGUUGAAACCGUAUGGCUAGAGUCCGGAAGAGGAGAGUGGAAUUCCCGGUGUAGCGGUGAAAUGCGCAGAUAUCGGGAAGAACACCUAUGGCGAAGGCAGCUCUCUGGGACGGUACUGACGCUGAGACGCGAAAGCGUGGGAGCAAACAGG
rnacentral:rRNA from 1 species